UUCAGGCGCAGGGCAGUACCUGCCCACCACACAUUGGGCUGACCCAAGACCACUGUGCGUGUGACAGCGGAUGAUCUGUGCCUAGGCAGAACGAAC
rnacentral:pre_miRNA from 1 species